rnacentral:miRNA from 15 species
AGGUUUUCAUCUUGGGGUACA